ensembl:snRNA U2 U2 spliceosomal RNA
AAAACUGUUCAAAACAAAACAAAAAUCUGUUCUUAUCAGUUUAAUAUCUGAUACGUCCCCUAUCUGGGGACUGCAUAUUAAAUGGAUUUUUGGAUCAUGGAGCUGGAUCUGGGGCUUGCUCCGUCCACUCCACACAUCGGUCUGGUAUUGCAGUAUCUCCAGAAACGGUGUGCUUCCC